rnacentral:rRNA from 1 species
UACAGAGGUCUCAAGCGUUGUUCGGAUUCACUGGGCGUAAAGGGUGCGAUAGGUGGUGAGGUAAGUCGGAGUGUGAAAGCUCGGAGCUACAACUCCGAAAUGGCAUUGGAAACUAACCUUGCUGCGAGGGUUGGAGGGGGGACUGGAAUACUUGGUGUAGCAGUGAAAUGCGUAGAUAUCAAGUGGAACACCAGUGGCGAAGGCGAGUCCCUGGACAACUCCUGACACUGAGGCACGAAAGCUAGGGGAGCAAACAGG